CCCGGUGACUUAAAGUUUAACGGCCGCGGUAUUAUGACCGUGCAAAGGUAGCGUAAUCACUUGUCUUUUAAAUGGAGACCAGUAUGAAUGGCGAAACGAGGGCAAGACUGUCUCCCCCCUUCGGUCAGUGAAACUGAUCUCCCCGUGCAGAAGCGGGGAUGUUACCACAAGACGAGAAGACCCUGUGGAGCUUCAGACUUUAGGGAGCUUACCUUAAGUAUCCCUAACAAAGGGAUAAAAUCAUGGCACCCCUCCCCUAAAUGUCUUUGGUUGGGGCGACCGCGGAGAAAAGGAUAACCCCCGCGUGGAUAGGGCUUCCCCUAUAACCCAGAGCUACAGCUCUAAGUAUCAGAAUACCUGACCUUGAAUGAUCCGGCCUGCCGAUCAACGAACCAAGUUACCCCAGGGAUAACAGCGCAAUCCCCUUCUAGAGCCCAUAUCGACAAGGGGGUUUACGACCUCGAUGUUGGAUCAGGAUAUCCUAAUGGUGCAGCCGCUAUUUAAGGUUCGUUUGUUCAACGAUUGAAAUCCUACG
rnacentral:rRNA from 1 species